CCGUGGUGUAGGGGUUAACAUGCCUGCCUGUCACGCAGGAGAUCGCGGGUUCAAAUCCCGUCGGGACCG
rnacentral:tRNA from 1 species